GGGGAUGUAAUGGUUUCGACAAAUAUAGGCAGUUGAACAUCGCAGUAGUGUGGCAGACUAUAAUUGCUACUAGGCUUUCUUAAACGGAAAAUCUGAAGAAAAAACUGAAUUUGCAUUCAGUAACCCAGCAUUUGCUGGAUCACAAGCCUUUGCAUUCGCUUAAUAACUAGCGGCAAAGCCAUUUCAAACGACUCCUUUAAGUUUGAAAUGAGUCAUAAAGGAUAGUUUUGAGAAUUGAUCGUAAUCAAAACGAAGAAAGAUCAAUUACUAAAUAAUAUUUUUGUUUAUUUUAUAUUUUAGUAAUUAAUAAAAAUAAACUAAACUGUAGAAGUGCGAUACUUGUUUAUGUUUGGACACGGGUUCGACUCCCGUCAUCUCCACCA
rnacentral:tmRNA from 1 species